AAGAAUUUAGUGUUUUACUAAAGGGGAAAUGUUGUACGUCUUAUGUAAAUUAUAAGGUUCAUAAGCGUAUAGCUUUUCCCCUUUAGUGCUUCACAAUUUUACA
rnacentral:pre_miRNA from 1 species